CCUACGGGUGGCAGCAGUGAGGAAUAUUGGUCAAUGGGCGCGAGCCUGAACCAGCCAAGUAGCGUGAAGGAUGACUGCCCUACGGGUUGUAAACUUCUUUUAUAAAGGAAUAAAGUGAGGCAAGUGUGCCUUUUUGUAUGGACUUUAUGAAUAAGGAGCGGCUAACUCCGUGCCAGCAGCCGCGGUAAUACGGAGGAGCCGAGCGUUAUCCGGAUUUAUUGGGUUUAAAGGGAGCGUAGAUGGGUUGUUAAGUCAGUUGUGAAAGGUUGCGGCUCAACCGUUAAAUUGCAAAUGAUACUGGCAGUCUUGAGUACAGUUGAGGUAGGCGGAAUUCGUGGUGUAGCAGUGAAAUGCUUAGAUAUCACGAAGAACUCCGAUUGCGAAGGCAGCUUACUAAACUGCAACUGACAUUGAUGCUCGAAAGUGUGGGUAUCAAACAGGAUUAGAUACCCCUGUAGUC
rnacentral:rRNA from 1 species